GCAAGAUAAAAACUACAAUAUUCAAAACUUUGAAUUGAAAUAGACAGAAAUAUCUUUACUAAAAUUCCGUAGGGUACAAAACACCCCAUAAUAUGUAUUGUUAUAAAUCUAAAGUUGUGAUUAAAAUCUAAUAACUACUUAAAGUAGGCGAGAACAAAUUUACAAAUUAGAACUAUUAUUAUCCCAUUAAUCAAAAGUAAUGGUGACAAGGGCAAAACAAUAAAAACGCAGCACUUCAAUAGUAUAUCAUUUUUUUCGGCAAGUGCUUCAGCGACGACCUUGUUUAUUCUAUUGAACAAUCCCAUUUUUAAUUGUCCUUUUUCCGCUACACCAUUUUCCUCUAUUUCAUAAUUCUAUCGAUCUUAGGGUUUUCUUCUUCUUCAAUUAUGGCGCCACCUGCUGCAGCACGAUCCGGUCUCGCCGCCCGCCUCCGCCCCCAGUUCACCAACAUACAGGCCGCCGCUCUGUGGGGCGGCGCCGCUGGCACCGCCGCUAUCUACCUUGUUCAGCCUUUUGACUGGUUGAGGAAGACAUUCUUUGAGAAACCUGAGUCUGAAGAGAAGUGAAGAGCAAUCGUUUAAUCUCACAUUCAACCUUUUUGAUAUGAUUUUCUGAUGCAACUCUGAGCCAGCUUUUAUGGAAUAAUAAUGAUUUUAUGUAAUCAUGCUUUUCAGGAAAAAGCUACAUUGUACUGGUUUUUUGGAUUAAUUUGCACAAUUUAUUGAUUUUGAUA